rnacentral:lncRNA from 1 species
UAAAUACUGUGUCAGUGUCUCGCUGCCGCUACAGAAACUCUGAUUACCGCCGUGGGUCUCGCCUGCCGGGCGAGUGAAGAACCGGCGGCCAGAGCUGCCAGCGGCUGCCGGCGACCCGCGGCUGCUCGGGGGCACCGCUGUGCGCCUGCGCGGCGCGCGCCGCGGCUCGGUGUGGUUUCCCAUGUCAUCGCAUACACUGUGAAAGCCUCUUUGUAAUGUACACAGUUUGUCAAAUGCUAUUAAAGCCUACAAACAUUAACAGCCUCAGGAUGUCCAUGCUUUGGCCCUGGAAGAGAAUUUUGAUUCUUCUCCAGUAA